UCCGCCCGGGAAAAGUUGUCCCCGUGGUCAUUUUACAAAAACACCCUUAGCUAAUUCCCGACACAGCCCACACUCCUCGUCUAUUCCGGUCGACACUCCGCAGCUCCGACACAGGCGCAUGGACGCCGGAGAUCCCCUGCUUCGGGCUACUCCCCUGCUCUCCCGCGCGUCCUCCUCCGCCGCCGCAGCUGCCUCCUCCGCCGCUCCCUUCUGCCUCCCGCAGCCCCCCACCCUCCCUUGCCUGCCUCCCGAAUCUUCCCUCUUUCACCCAAAAAUUGUUUCUUCUUCCUCCCGCCGUGUCUCCUGCUCGCGGCCACCCCCUCCCUCCUAGCGUUGAUGGAAGAAGCAUGGCCGGCCCUCGGCCCGACGGCCUGCGACGCGGCCUUCCAACCCCCGCCCCGGCCCCCGUGGCGUGGGGCGCGGCCGCAACGGCGCGGCGGGAGACGGUGGCCAAGGAAUCGUCCGCGCAGGCGGUGAGCCAAAUCGUGUCCAGCUGCGCCAACUCGAGCGGCCUGGCCGUGGCCGUCGUCAACGCCAACGCCGUCAUCUCGGGCGGCGCCGCGCUCGCCUCCACUGCGGCCGGCUGGUCAUGGUGCUCGAGGAGGUGUGCGACGCCGCAGUGCGCCGGAGGCUCGCGCUCCUGCCCACCCCCGUCGAGACCGUCGAGCCAACCCCUGAGUUCGUCAAGAGAGGUCGACUGUUUACUUAAUCCAGCCUAGCACGUAGGGCCAGCUUGAACCGUGUGCACCAGGAAGAAGACCAACCCAAAGUUGAUGAAGGGAGACAGCCAACGGGAUGCCCUGCAAAUCAAUUUCGAGCAAGGGAGGUUGUGCGGCGCCGAGCGGAUGUACGGCGAGGUCUUCAUAAUGGCGUCAAGUCACCCUUGCCAUAUGGAAUAUAUGAGGAGCAGCAGCAGCACAAGGAGCAAUUCCUUACAGUACAAUUUUGGAGUACUCUUGGUGUAAAUCAACUUUACUAAUUUUCAGGUUCAGAUCAAUCAGCCACAAUCAGUCCAUUUUUCAGGAAGUACCUGCAGCCAACAGCAGUAGCAGAGGCAAUCGCCGACAGCAGCAGCAGAUGCAGUCGCCAACAGCAGCAACAGGUCCGUUCGGACUCGAUCGAGCGGGCUGCAGCGACAGCAGUAGGUGGCGGGCGACGGCAGCGGCAGGCGGCAGCGGCAGGUGGCGGACGGACGGCAGUGGCAGCAACAGGAUCCCGCCACCGGGGAAGACCCGCGUGGCCCUGCCUGCCGAAGUCAGGGAGAGGGGAGCGGCGGCUGGGGUUGCCUCAGGCACGAGGAACCUGUGCCGGCGAGGAGAGCGACGAGGAGGAGGCGCCCGUUGAGGUGGUCGCCUUGGAGGAGCAGCUGCAGUCGGGGUCGGGCUCCUCGGAGGAGCAGCCGCAGUCGGGGUCGAGCUCCUCAAUGACGUAGGCGGCGCCUGCGCUGGAGGCGAUGCUGCUGCGCUCGCCGGCCGUGCUCGAGCCCCUCGACCCCCUCCACGAGCCCCUCGAUCUCCUCCCUCCUCCGGGACGCGGCUGUGCUGCUCCUGUCCCUGGACGCGGCCCUCCUCGGCGAUCUCGUGGCAGAUGGCGGCGGCGAAGUCCGCGGGCAGGUCAGCGGGGCGGUGGGAGAGCGCGGCCAGGGCGUCGCUGGCGGGGGCCGGACGGUGGACUGAUCGGGCGACGGAGGGAGGAGGAAG